rnacentral:rRNA from 1 species
AUGAAUGCUGGCGGCGUGUCUAAGGCAUGCAAGUCGAACGCGUUUAUUUUUGUAGCAAUACUUGAAUGAACGAGUGGCAAACGGGUGCGUAACACAUUGGUAACCUGCCUCGAAGUCGGGCACAACCAGCCGAAAGGCUGGCUAAUUCCACGAUGGUCAUAAGAGGACUUAUGUCUUCUUGUGUAAAGUCGCAAGACGCUUCGAGAGGGACCUAUGGCCUAUCAGCUAGUUGGUGAGGUAAUGGCUCACCAAGGCGAUGACGGGUAGGGGAUGUGAGAGCAUGAUCCCCCUCACUGGGACUGAGACACUGCCCAGACACCUACGGGUGGCUGCAGUCGAGAAUAUUCCCCAAUGGGCGAAAGCCUGAGGGAGCGACGCCGCGUGCGGGAUGAAGGGCUUCGGCUCGUAAACCGCUUUUACCGAGGAAGAACAUUGACGGUACUCGGAGAAUAAGAGGUUGCUAACUCUGU